UACAGAGGUCUCAAGCGUUGUUCGGAUUCAUUGGGCGUAAAGGGUGCGUAGGUGGCGCGCUAAGUCAGGUGUGAAAUUUCGGAGCUUAACUCCGAAACUGCAUUUGAUACUGGCGUGCUUGAGGACUGGAGAGGAGAGUGGAAUUCCCGGUGUAGCGGUGAAAUGCGCAGAUAUCGGGAAGAACACCCGUGGCGAAGGCGGCUCUCUGGGACGGUACUGACGCUGAGACGCGAAAGCGUGGGGAGCGAACAGG
rnacentral:rRNA from 1 species